rnacentral:rRNA from 1 species
AAAAGAACCUGAAACCGUGUACGUACAAGCAGUGGGAGCACCCUUUUGGGUGUGACUGCGUACCUUUUGUAUAAUGGGUCAGCGACUUAUAUUCUGUAGCAAGGUUAACCGAAUAGGGGAGCCGGAGGGAAACCGAGUCUUAAUUGGGCGUUAAGUUGCAGGGUAUAGACCCGAAACCCGGUGAUCUAGCCAUGGGCAGGUUGAAGGUUGGGUAACACUAACUGGAGGACCGAACCGACUAAUGUUGAAAAAUUAGCGGAUGACCUGUGGCUGGGGGUGAAAGGCCAAUCAAACCGGGAGAUAGCUGGUUCUCCCCGAAAGCUAUUUAGGUAGCGCCUCGUGAAUUCAUCUCCGGGGGUAGAGCACUGUUUCGGCUAGGGGGCCAUCCCGGCUUACCAACCCGAUGCAAACUGCGAAUACCGGAGAAUGUUAUCACGGGAGACACACGGCGGGUGCUAACGUCCGUCGUGAAGAGGGAAACAACCCAGACCGCCAGCUAAGGUCCCAAAGUCAUGGUUAAG